rnacentral:rRNA from 1 species
GACGAACGCUGGCGGCGUGCUUAACACAUGCAAGUCGAACGGAAAGGCCCUGCUUUUGUGGGGUGCUCGAGUGGCGAACGGGUGAGUAACACGUGAGUAACCUGCCCUUGACUUUGGGAUAACUUCAGGAAACUGGGGCUAAUACCGGAUAGGAGCUCCUGCUGCAUGGUGGGGGUUGGAAAGUUUCGGCGGUUGGGGAUGGACUCGCGGCUUAUCAGCUUGUUGGUGGGGUAGUGGCUUACCAAGGCUUUGACGGGUAGCCGGCCUGAGAGGGUGACCGGCCACAUUGGGACUGAGAUACGGCCCAGAAUCCUACGGGGGGCAGCAGUGGGGAAUAUUGCACAAUGGGCGGAAGCCUGAUGCAGCAACGCCGCGUGCGGGAUAACGGCCUUCGGGUUGUAAACCGCUUUCGCCUGUGACGAAGCGUGAGUGACGGUAAUGGGUAAAGAAGCACCGGCUAACUACGUG